GAGGAUAUAACUCAAGUGGUAGAGUGCAUGCUUAGCAUGUAUGAGUCCUGGGUUCAAUUCCCAGUACCUCU
rnacentral:tRNA from 1 species